UCUCCCCGCCCCCCGGCCCCGAACCCCGCGCACCUCGUCUGGGGACGGGGCGGGGGGGGGGCAGGGCCGCCGUUCCUCCCCGCCCCCUCCUCCUCGGGCCUCUGGAGCGAUUUGUCAAACUUCCCAUUCCGCCGGCAGCGCGAUCCUCCUCCUCCUCCUCCUCCUCCUCCACCACCUCCUCCUCCUCUGCCUCCUCCUCCCCCCCGCGCUCCUCCCUCCCCGCGCCUCCCUCGCCCGCCCUCCUUCUUCCCUCCGCACGUUCGGGGAUCGCGGCGGAGCGCGGAGAGGGGGGGACGCGGAGAGCCGGGGCGCAGCAGCAUCCUGCGGGCGGCCGCUCUCCGGGGGGGAGGCUGAGAGCCGGCCCGCCUCGCCCCCCCCGCGGGCCCGCCGCCCCUCCCUCCCUCUCCUCAGCCCGGCAGCGGCGGCGGCGGCGGCGGCGGCAGUGGCAGUCGCCGGAGGAGCAUCAUGCCGAGGAGGAAGCAGCAGGCGCCCCGGCGCGCAGCAGGGAUUUAUUAGUAAGCACGUGUAAUCUUUGGCAAAAGGAAACCUGAAAAUGCAUUUCCCGUGGGACCCCGUGCCAGUCGAUGCCUUUCAGCCUGCAGCUGACCUCCGGAGCCACGGAAAAGGAUUCCAGGGACACAUUUACGACCGUCAUAAUUAUGAGUUAGAGAUCUCCCAGGCCAAGUGAAAUGAAAUUACGAGAAACUGAAAUCUGUUUUAAUUGGAGCAUUUAUGGAAAAAAGAAGUCAGACUGGCUGCCUUUUUCCUUUAUGUGGCUCCCCGGUUCAGGACGAUACCUGGGUCCGGAAGCCAGGGCCGGCCAAACGGCGACAGAGCGGGGAGGAAGAGAGAGAGAGAAGAGAGAGAAUGAGGGAGAGACAGCCCUGCCCCUCCACGGCCACCCUGCAGGCUGUGCUUCACCGGCACUUCCUCCUCUUUCCCAGGAAACACUUCGGACUUACCGUUCCCCCGCGCUCCGACGCCGUUGCCUCUCGGAGCCUCCUUGGAGAAGGCAAGCUUGACUUCUGGGCUCAGAAGAUGCUCUCUUGGAUGUCAGACAGAUGUUGGGUGGCUGGCGGAGGGCAUGCACUUCUGGCCACUUCGUGACAGCCUGCACACCGCCCCCCCCCCCCCCAGGCAGUGCCAAGGCUGGGGGAGUCCUGGCACACGGAAAGCACCCACUAAACAUUUGCUUAAUUAAUGAAAAAAUGCAUGGGCUGAAUUGAUUCCCCAGCUCACUGUCUCCUCAGUGGGGGCUCUCACAGCCAGCCUCUCAAAAGGCCAUUCCUUCCCUGGAGCAAUGUACUCCUUUGUUCUAAGAGCUGUGUUUUCCAGGUGAGCGCCACACCCCUCACAGCAAAAUAGACAGCGGGUCCGCAUUCUCACCCAGCACGGUGCCUGGUCCACAGGAGAGGCUCCGCAAAUGUGUGUUCUCCCUCUUUUAAUGAGACAGAGGCUCAUUUUCCUCCUGGAAGAAGGGCUACCUGGAAAUGAAUGCACGUUUCUACAAACUGCCGCACUGGGCUGCCCGGAGAUGAACACGUGCUGGGAGGAUGCACCCAGAGGCCAGCUAGGUGCUGAGGCUGAGUUCUGAGCUUCGGGUUCGGCCACAGACUCCUAAUGCAGACCUACCCACGGAUGGGGAGGGGGCAGCCAAUGGCUGGACCUUUAUGUAGUGUCGUCUGACUGCCUGUCCGUAGUUGACGUCCAAGAGAAACCAUUGCAAGAGAUGAAUCGGACGUGGACGAGGCUGCCUCCGAGUGAUGCCGCCUCAAUGCCCCUGGGGCACCCCCAGGCACAAUCACUCACUCCUGAGGCCCCCAGGGCAAACAUCUGUCGCUACUCUGUGUUGCAAUCUGCUUACAGGUGUUGGGGCUGGACCCAGGCACCGCCCUCAGAUGCAGCAAUCUGCCCCUGGAUUCCUAAGGAGAAGGAACUCCCCGUGCACCAGAGGAAGGACACAGAGUUCCUCUGCCACCAUUCCCGUCGGAGGGUGCGCUGACACCCCGGACGCCGGGAGCUCGUGGGUGACUGAGGCCCCGGCUCAGACCGCACAGCACCAUGAGGGAGCGGCGGUGGUGACAGGUGCUGUGGUGGGUGAUGUGAGUGGCAAGUGUGGACACGUCAGCCCCGUGGUCCUGCCAUGCCUCCAAGAAAGGGCACAGCUCUCUGCAGUGGGGGCAGUGACUUGCAAAUAGGCCCAGACGUGACCUCAGGGGAGACACGAGUCCCCCAGGCCAGCAGCGAACUUGUUCUGGAGACACCACGUUUCUGCAGCAUGAAAGCCCCAGGCCCUGCCUCAGGAGAGGAAACCCAGACUUUCCCUCGUUAGGAGACAAUUGGGCCAACACCCAUCUCCCCCCAUUGGAAGCUCCCUCGGCCCCUCCUGCUGAGCCACCUGCCCUGUGCCCUCCUAAUCCAGGUGUGGCCCACCAUGACUGCUGGCUCUUAGACUCCAUAGUCCUUCCUGGCAGACUCAAAUUUAAGCUGCCCUCCUGCCUGGAGGGACCCCCGUCCCCCACUGGCUCUCUGGCAGGAGUAAGCAGAUUCAAGUGUGCCUUUUGGAGAACUCUUGCCUCCAGCAGUCCUGGGAGGUGGGCCAGCCUCUUUGACCAAGGCUGCACGGAACGGGUCAGAGCCCAGGCAGGUGACUUAGCCCCCGUGUGUCACACGGCAACAUGGGGCAACAGCUAGAACUUGAAGGCUACUCCUCCCAAAUACGAGAAAGCAGAGAGCCGAGACAGCCUGGGAAUCACCCGCCUUGCUGAGCAGUAUCUGUUUACAAAGACAGGAGCUCAGAAAUGCUUCCAUUGUGGAGAAACAAAGCCUCGGAAAUACAAAAUAGAAGGCCAGCCCUCGGCCACUCUGGGAGGGAGCGAGCCUCCCCGGGGAUUGGCACUGAGCGGCCCCGCCGGCUCUGUUCCCAGCGUAUCAUGGUUUCACUGCACCUGUUGGCAUAGCUUUGUGGUGAUUCACUCCUGCCUCCUCCUCAGGCCUCGUUGUGUCCUGGCCGGAGGGGAGCGCACCCUUGAGCACGGGGCCCUGGAGCCAAGCACACCCCCCAAGCAGGCAUGGCCUUGCAGCCCUCUGUUGGUCCUCACGGGUCUCCUGGUGGGUGACUCAGUCUCCCAGUCAAGAUCCACCAGCUGCCCAGGACCUGCCUGGCAAAGUCCCCAAACCCCUACAGGAGAAUUAGCGAGGGGGCCACCUCCUGAGCCCCCUUGUGCUACGGAUUGGGGGUCUAGGAGUGGCAUUCAGAGAAGGGCAGGGGCUCCCUCUGCUUCAGUCACCUCCGGCUGUCCCCUCUGAGCCUCCAGGUCCUGUGCAGCCGAACAGAUGAAUUGCCUGCAAAUCUGGGUAAUUUUGUGAUUACGCUGGUAAGCUCUCUUGCCAUCCUUGCUGGGAAAUAUCGAUGCUUGGCAGAAAUAGAAAGUUAAAACCCCUCUCCACCCCCAUUUCUUCCCAGCGGGGGCCGCAGCUCGAAGGCAGAUUGGUGAGCUGCCAGGCCCUUGCACACACUUGUGGAUCUAGAGUGCAUCAUCACACUAUGCUUAUGUGUGCACGAGGCCACUUGCUUGGACUCUCGUUUCGUGUAAGGGUGUGAUCACUUGGCCCGUGUUGAUGAUUCACCUUCUCAGGGCCUCACCCCUUAAGCCCUGCAGAGAAGCAUGGAGUUUGGGGGCAUCUUUGAGCAUUCAGCCAUUCCUCCACAGAGGACAUUCCUGCAGUUUUCCUUUCUUUUAUUCCUCUCCUCCCUUUCUCCCUGCCUGCUCUCUCACUGGCUCUCCCCAUCCUGCCACCCCGCCCCCCGCCGCCCCGCAAUUACGAGCAGCACCCCAGCAAACAUCCUUGGACACGUAUCUCUGCACCGGCCUGCUCUUCUUCCUGCAGGACACUUCCCUGACGGGGGCUGAGCUGGAACAAAGGGACAUGCAUUUGAAGUGUUGAUGCACUGCCAGGUUGUCCUCCAAAAGUGCAUGUGUGUUUUGUAAACCUCAGCUGUUAUAUCCCAUCCGCGUAUGUUGCCAGUCUGAUGGAGGCAGCCCACGAAUGAUAGCGAAGCCUCUCUAGUGGCCAUACUUCUCCCCGCCCCUGGGGAACUCCUUGUGCUGGGACCUGUAGGGGGACCCCUGCCUCUCAUGAACGUCCUUACCCCGAGUUUGCAAACGACAUUUAAGGAUUGCUUCUGUUCAACUAAACAAGUAAACAUGUAAAGUGCACUAGGACUCUGUGAAGAUCCACCGACUAUAUUUUCACCUACAGGUUUUGUUGUGUGCAGAGAGACUAUAGUAAAUACGGCUAGAAUUGUAACCGCUUGUCUAAUAUACAUUAUGUUGUAGAAUCCCCACCCCAAAGCUGUGAGGCUGAUACAAUGUUGCGCCUGCUUUAUAGAUGAAGACACCGUAGUGUGCUGAAUGGUGGUCCCCAAUGAUAUAUCCACAUCCCAAUCCCUGGCACUUGUAAUUUUUAUUUGGGGAAAAAAGGGUCUCUGCACAUAUAAGUAAGUUGAGGGUCUUGAGAUAAAGGGACCACCCUCCCCAGAUUAUUCUAUGGGCCCUGACUCCAAUGACAAGUGUCCUUGUAAGAGGCACAGAGAGGAGACAGCAGUGUGAAGCCAAAGGCAGAGCUUGGAGUGACGUGCCUACAAGCCCAGGAAAGCCAGCAGCUACCAGAAGCUAGACGGGGCAAGACACAAAUCCUCCCCUAGACCCUCCCGAGAAGGCACGACCCUGCCCACACCUUGCCUUCCUCCGUCUAGUCUCCCGAACUGUGGAAGAUUAGAUUUCUAUUGUUUGAAGGCACCGAGUUUCUGGCAACUUGUGGCCUCUGGAAGCUCAUGCAGACACUGAGGCUUGGAGGCGUCAGAAACCUCUGCAGGCUCCCCAGCAGCACAGCGCCCUACUAUGCGCCCGGUGCCCAGGGGUGUUUCGGGAGGCAGAAGGGGAGUCGCCAGCCUCAAGCGCCGGAGGAAUCCACAGCACUCCAGCCUCCUCCGAGGACCGCGGUGGGCUGUGUCCAGGGCACGCUCUGAACGGAGUGCUGGUGAGAAGCCAUGUGGACGGACUUGAGCUCCAGCGUCAGUGCUGCAGUGGGUGGGAGAGUGCAGUGGGGGGGGGGGGGGGGGCUCCAGAAGGUUCUAGAGCCUGAGGAGCCAGCUGUGCUCAGUGUGUCAGCCCUGCCUCUGUGUCAGCCCCUGCUCACCUGCCCAGCAGGAGUGAGAGCAGGGAGGACUUUGUCUCUCUCAGCACCAUCUGGAACACCUCAUGAGCUAGUCUGGAGGGCCAAAGACGUGUCCCCUGGAGAGGUGCCAAGGACCUGGCACUCAUGUCUCAGGGGGAGAGGGCAGAAUGAGGAGCAGUUCUGGAAGUAGAAGGACCACUUCUCUUGCUUCCCAGAGAGUCAGUGAAUCUCUGAGUCUCGCUUGAUUUUCUGUAAAGUGGGCUCAACAAUAAGGGGGAUAAAACAUGUUGGAGCGUGACCGCAGCUAAGCUGGCGGCUGGUACUUCUCUCCUUCACCCCCGGCAGCUCCACGAACUAGUAACUGGCUUCUUCCUAUUUUGUAGAUGGAGAAGCUGCAAUACAGAGGCAUUAACUGUCGAGGUCAGGAGCUAGGGCAAAGGCCGAGCAGGACUUAAACCCAGGCUGCACAGCCCUGGAGUCCACGCUCUUAACCCCAAUCCACGGUCGUCGGAGGGGAAUGAGUGAGAAAACGUGUCCAAAGCACCCGGUGCCUCGUCUGGCCUGGAGUAGCACUGCACACCCCGAAGCCCUCUGCAUCGGCCACCUUCUGGAUGUGUCCCUCGCCCUCAGCUCAGUACAGGUCUCCAUGGAGCUGCAGCAGGGCCUCCCCAUUGCCUGCCUCCCCGCCCCCGCCCCCCCCACUGUGUGUUUGUGACCAUCCCAGGUAACUCGUCCCAGUGGCAUCUAGUGUCUGCACUUCACCUCCCCGGGGCUCAGUGCACACCGGUGGCAUGCUUGAUGCUCAGGAGCACGGGCCCGGGGGUGAGGACUCUGUAAGCCCUGGAUGAGGGUUCAAUGCCAUGCAGCAAGGACGCCGGGGUCCCAGUUCCAGGCGUAUGCUCCAGGACAGGGAGGGUGCAGGCUCGAGGUGGCCAUGUGGUGAGGCUCAGGGAAGGGCCCUCUGAAGCACAGGGCCCAGGGGAGGGGCCCCAGCCGCCCAGGUCUGAGCACUGUAUUGUGCCAGAAACUCCAUUUCUUCUGGGCUUCACAAGGAGAGAGAGGGCUUCAAGUGUCAUCCCCACUCCAUUUCUUCCCAGUGCUCCAGAACCUUCCCCCAUAUUUGGUGGCAAAGCAGAUCCUGCCUUCAGCUGACUAGUGGAAGGGGAAGUGUCGGUCUCUCCCUGUGGUCACACGCUGAACCCGAUGCCCAGGUAACAGGUGCUCCAGCUGGUCCCCCCACAGGCCAGCCCACUCCUCAGACUACAGCAGCUACGGCCAUUUACUGAGCACCUACUAUGCGCCGGGCUCGGUGCUAAGCCUUCACCUGCAACACCUCUGCACAAGGAAGGGUGUAACUACUGUUCCCAUUUCACAGAUGAGGUGACAGUGCUCGCCAGAUGCUGCAAAAGAGCUGACGCAUGGGGUGUCUCUUCCGGGGACCAUGAUUCAAUAGCCUGUCUUCCCCCAAACGGUUUUAUUAUUAAAAAAAAUACUUAGCAUAUUCCACUUAGAAUAGUAGAUAUUUCAUAUCUUUUGCUUAUUACAAUGCACCGUGCUAAGCAUCCAUUAUUUAGCUGUGCGCUGGGUGUAAUCAUUCUUCAGGUACUAGUGUGCCAGCAAUAAUUUACGUCCUGUGCAAGGAGUCAGGAUGUAUCCUCUACCUGCACAAGGAGCUGACAGUGGGGCACAGCAUAAUUGUUCCAAAAAGCCGCACUUGAUAGCUAAUGAAUGAGCGUAGAGGAUUAGAGAUGGGGAGAUCCACCGGCGUUUGUGAAAGGUAAAUCAACAAUUAGAAGAAGAAUACGUUCUGUUGGCUGUCAGGGAAGAUUUCUGCAAGGAAAACGGAAAAGAUGAUUUAGACUCAAGGGUAAUACAAUGUCUGCUGCAGGUACGGGAGGAGUUCCACGCUCACAGAUGCAUUUGAAAAACUAUUUUUAAGAGAACUUAGAAGAAUUUCCUCCAGUGCCUUGAAGCUUUCCAAAAACUGUGGUGUGCUCGUCCAUGCAUUCCCGCAACAAGAGCCGGGCGCCCAGUGCGUGCAGCAUGGGAGGUCGUGCAUCCGUAGUGACCCCGUUCUCCUCUCUGAGACCAAGGGAAGCAGGCUCCAGGGAGGAUGUUUUCUGGGUGCUCUUGCCUGAGAAGCAGAUGGUAACGAUAAUCACCAUCACUGCUCUGACUGACCAUGGGGCAUCUUCCGGGAUGCUGCAUGUUACCUGUGAUCUGCACAAUGGCACGUGGACAUGGGUGCUGCUGUCUUUAUUUUACCCAGGAGGAUGCUGGGGCUCCGGAGUUUAAGUACCUGGCCAGAGUCACAAGGCCAGAGCAAGGGGCAGCAGGCUGCCUGACCCCACCUCUGGGUCCUCCCUCUAUCCUGCCCCGUGGGUGUUCUGACUCUGUGCUGAGGACAGCAGGGCUCUGCGGGGGCGUUUUCGGGGUUCUGCAAACACUGAAAAUUUUCCUGCCAUGGAAAGAAACAGUUAAACUGCCUGAGCAUUUAAAGUACUUUGAUUUUUCUGUAUUCUAUUUCUGUGGAUCAACUUUCCCUGUUCACACACGCGUGCGCACGCACACACACACAUGCAUGCACACCUGUCAUCGGUGUGCGUGCAUGUGCGUAUACGCACGGUGCAGUGGAGUGUGUGUUUCCGUGUGUGCAAAGCUCGCCGUCCUGCUGUCUGUGCCCGGGUCCCCGCUCAGCUGGCCCCUGCCGGGCAGCGAACCCGCUGGCCUGCCCCCUAGUGCCAAUGGCUGCAGCAGCCUGGGCUCCUCCUGAUUUCACUUCUCAGUUUCCCCGAGUUCCAUCCAAAGGCCCGGGGGAGGCCCGAGACGUUCAGACUUUGAUCACGAUAGCCUGUUUCUUUAAAUAAGUGACCUCUUUCCCCACAUCCUCUGGUGGGGACAAAGCAUUUUUCAGACAAGUGAAGCACUUGGGGUGGUUUACAAAUUUUAACUUUAUUCAUGAAAAAGCUCUCUACAAUCAAAUGGGACACUGACUGGCCUUCUUGGGCAGAGGCUAGUGACCUCCGUUGUGCUUUUUCUUUGU